ACGGAAGGCAGCAGUGGGGAAUAUUGCACAAUGGGCGAAAGCCUGAUGCAGCGACGCCGCGUGAGUGAAGAAGUAUCUCGGUAUGUAAAGCUCUAUCAGCAGGGAAGAAAAUGACGGUACCUGACUAAGAAGCCCCGGCUAACUACGUGCCAGCAGCCGCGGUAAUACGUCGGGGGCAAGCGUUAUCCGGAUUUACUGGGUGUAAAGGGAGCGUAGACGGUUUGGCAAGUCUGAAGUGAAAUGCGGGGGCUCAACUCCUGAACUGCUUUGGAAACUGUCGAACUAGAGUGCAGGAGAGGUAAGUGGAAUUCCUAGUGUAGCGGUGAAAUGCGUAGAUAUUAGGAGGAACACCAGUGGCGAAGGCGGCUUACUGGACUGUAACUGACGUUGAGGCUCGAAAGCGUGGGGAGCAAACAGGAUUAGAUACCCUGGUA
rnacentral:rRNA from 1 species